UAGGUUGAGAUGAUCAGGUUAUUAAAACUCCAAAAUAUAGUGUCGCAUUUUAUGAUGAGGUACUUCGAUUUGGACUUCGAUUUUUUUUUCAUCUAUUUUUUUAUAAUAUCUUAGACUUUUAUAAGCUUCAUCCUGCUCAAAAAACUCCAAAUACUAUUAGGAUGAUUAUAGUUUUCAUUAUUUGUUGUAAAUUUGUUGGCAC
rnacentral:lncRNA from 1 species